AACGUAGGAGGCAAGCGUUAUCCGGAGUUACUGGGCGUAAAGGGUGCGUAGGCGGGUCUUUAAGUCAGGGGUGAAAUCCUGGAGCUCAACUCCAGAACUGCCUUUGAUACUGAAGAUCUUGAGUUCGGGAGAGGUGAGUGGAACUGCGAGUGUAGAGGUGAAAUUCGUAGAUAUUCGCAAGAACACCAGUGGCGAAGGCGGCUCACUGGCCCGGUACUGACGCUGAGGUGCGAAAGCGUGGGGAGCAAACAGG
rnacentral:rRNA from 1 species